UACGUAGGGUGCAAGCGUUGUCCGGAAUUAUUGGGCGUAAAGAGCUCGUAGGCGGUCUGUCGCGUCGGCUGUGAAAACUUGGGGCUCAACCCCAAGCUUGCGGUCGAUACGGGCAGGCUAGAGUUCGGUAGGGGAGACUGGAAUUCCUGGUGUAGCGGUGAAAUGCGCAGAUAUCAGGAGGAACACCGGUGGCGAAGGCGACGACCUGGGGCAGAACUGACGCUGAGACGCGAAAGCACGGGGAGCGAACGGG
rnacentral:rRNA from 1 species